UACAGAGGGGGCAAGCGUUGUUCGGAAUUACUGGGCGUAAAGGGCGCGUAGGCGGCCCGCUAAGUCGAACGUGAAAUCCCCAGGCUUAACCUGGGAACUGCGUCCGAUACUGGUGGGCUUGAAUCCGGGAGAGGGAUGUGGAAUUCCAGGUGUAGCGGUGAAAUGCGUAGAUAUGCGGAGGAACACCGAUGGCGAAGGCAGUCCCCUGGACCUGUACUGACGCUCAUGCACGAAAGCGUGGGGAGCAAACAGG
rnacentral:rRNA from 1 species